GGCAAGUCGAGCGAACAGAUAAGGAGCUUGCUCCUUUGACGUUAGCGGCGGACGGGUGAGUAACACGUGGAUAACCUACCUAUAAGACUGGGAUAACUUCGGGAAACCGGAGCUAAUACCGGAUAACAUAUUGAACCGCAUGGUUCAAUAGUGAAAGGCGGCUUUGCUGUCACUUAUAGAUGGAUCCGCGCCGUAUUAGCUAGUUGGUAAGGUAACGGCUUACCAAGGCAACGAUACGUAGCCGACCUGAGAGGGUGAUCGGCCACACUGGAACUGAGACACGGUCCAGACUCCUACGGGAGGCAGCAGUAGGGAAUCUUCCGCAAUGGGCGAAAGCUGACGGAGCAACGCCGCGUGAGUGAUGAAGGUCUUCGGAUCGUAAAACUCUGUUAUCAGGGAAGAACAAAUGUGUAAGUAACUGUGCACAUCUUGACGGUACCUGAUCAGAAAGCCACGGCUAACUACGUGCCAGCAGCCGCGGUAAUACGUAGGUGGCAAGCGUUAUCCGGAAUUAUUGGGCGUAAAGCGCGCGUAGGCGGUUUUUUAAGUCUGAUGUGAAAGCCCACGGCUCAACCGUGGAGGGUCAUUGGAAACUGGAAAACUUGAGUGCAGAAGAGGAAAGUGGAAUUCCAUGUGUAGCGGUGAAAUGCGCAGAGAUAUKGAGGGACACCA
rnacentral:rRNA from 1 species